rnacentral:rRNA from 1 species
GUGCACCAGUCGCGAAACUUUACAAUGUGCGAAAGCACGAUAAGGGAACUCUGAGUGCCUCCUAAGGAGGCUGUUCAGGUGUCUAAAAGCACCUGAAGGAAGGGCUGGGUAAGACCGGUGCCAGCCGCCGCGGUAACACCGGCAGCCCAAGUGGUAGCCACGUUUAUUGGGUCUAAAGCGUCCGUAGCCGGCUGGGUAAGUUCCUUGGGAAAUUUGGCUGCUUAACAGUCAAGCUUUCAGGGAAUACUGCCCGGCUUGGGACCGGGAGAGGUCAGAGGUACUCCAGGGGUAGGGGUGAAAUCCAUUAAUCCUUGGGGGACCACCGGUAGCGAAGGCGUCUGACCAGACCGGGUCCGACGGUGAGGGACGAAGGCUAGGGGCGCGAACCGGAUUAGAUACCCCGGUAGU